rnacentral:rRNA from 1 species
ACUGGGACUGAGACACGGCCCAGACUCCUACGGGAGGCAGCAGUGGGGAAUUUUGCGCAACGGGGGCAACCCUGACGCAGCAACGCCGCGUGAGUGAAGACGCCUUUCGGGGUGUAAAACUCUGUGAGGUGGAACGAAGAGUCCGGGUUAAGAGCCCGUGAUGAUGACGGUGCCACCUGAGCAAGCCCCGGCUAACUCCGUGCCAGCAGCCGCGGUAAUACGGGAGUGGCAAGCGUUAUCCGGAAUUAUUGGGCGUAAAGCGUCCGCAGGCGGUCUUGAAAGUCUGUUGUUAAAGCGUGGAGCUCAACUCCAUUUCAGCAAUGGAAACUAGAAGACUAGAGUGUGGUAGGGGCAGAGGGAAUUCCCGGUGUAGCGGUGAAAUGCGUAGAUAUCGGGAAGAACACCAGUGGCGAAGGCGCUCUGCUGGGCUAUAACUGACGCUCAUGGACGAAAGCCAGGGGAGCGAAAGGGAUUAGAUACCCCUGUAGUCCUGGCCGUAAACGAUGAACACUAGGUGUCGGGGGAAUCGACCCCCUCGGUGUCGUAGCCAACGCGUUAAGUGUUCCGCCUGGGGAGUACGCACGCAAGUGUGAAACUCAAAGGAAUUGACGGGGGCCCGCGCAAGCGGUGGAGUAUGUGGUUUAAUUCGAUGCAACGCGAAGAACCUUACCAGGGUUUGACAUCCUGCGAAUCCCUUGGAAACUUGGGAGUGCCUUCGGGAGCGCAGUGACAGGUGGUGCAUGGCUGUCGUCAGCUCGUGUCGUGAGAUGUUGGGUUAAGUCCCGCAACGAGCGCAACCCACGUCUUUAGUUGCCAGCAUUAAGUUGGGCACUCUAGAGAGACUGCCGGUGAUAAACCGGAGGAAGGUGUGGAUGACGUCAAGUCAUCAUGCCCCUUACAUCCUGGGCUACACACGUACUACAAUGCUACGGACAAAGGGCAGCAAACUCGCGAGAGCUAGCAAAUCCCAUAAACCGUGGCUCAGUUCAGAUCGUAGGCUGCAACUCGCCUACGUGAAGGAGGAAUCGCUAGUAAUCGCAGGUCAGCAUACUGCGGUGAAUACGUUCCCGGGCCUUGUUCACACCGCCCGUCACACUAUGGAAGUUGGCCACGCCCGAAGUCGUUACUCCAACCCGCAAGGGAGGAGGAUGCCGAAGGUGGGGCUGAUGACUGGGGUGAAGUCGUAACAAGGUAGCCGUACCGGAAGGUGCGGCUG